ACGGUCACAUGAAGUUGAAACAUUGGUUCCCGUACUAACACUGAAGUUAGGCAAAGUCAAGCCUGUUGAGUACUUAGAUGGGUGACCGCUUGGGAAUCCCAGGUGCUA